GCAGGCAUAGCUCAGUGGCAGAGCACAUGCCUAGCAUGCAUAAGAUCCUGGGUUCAAUCCCCAGUACCACCA
rnacentral:tRNA from 1 species